UACGGAGGGGGCUAGCGUUGUUCGGAAUUACUGGGCGUAAAGCGCACGUAGGCGGCUUUGUAAGUUAGAGGUGAAAGCCCGGGGCUCAACUCCGGAAUUGCCUUUAAGACUGCAUCGCUAGAAUUGUGGAGAGGUAAGUGGAAUUCCGAGUGUAGAGGUGAAAUUCGUAGAUAUUCGGAAGAACACCGGUGGCGAAGGCGGUUCUCUGGGCCUGUACUGACGCUGAGGAGCGAAAGCGUGGGGAGCGAACAGG
rnacentral:rRNA from 1 species